rnacentral:rRNA from 1 species
AGAGUUUGAUCCUGGCUCAGGAUGAACGUUGGCGGCGUGCCUAAUACAUGCAAGUCGAACGAGAAGCUUUGACCUCGGUUGAAGCGGAGAGUGGCGCACGGGUGAGUAACACAUGGCUGACCUGCCCUUCAGAGGGGGACAACCACUAGAAAUGGUGGCUAAUACCCCAUAUGCUCACGGAGUUUAGAAAUUUGUGAGGAAAAGCUGAGGCGCUGAAGGAGGGGGCUGUGGUCCAUCAGCUAGUUGGUGUGGUAAAGGCGCACCAAGGCGAAGACGGAUAGGGGGCCUGAGAGGGUGACCCCCCACAUGGGCACUGAGACACGGGCCCAACUCCUACGGGAGGCAGCAGUAAGGGAUAUUGCGACAAUGGACGAAAGUCUGACGCAGCAACGCCGCGUGUGGGAUGAAGGCCUUCGGGUUGUAAACCACUUUUCUGUGGGAAGAGGAAGGACGGUACCACAGGAAUAAGUCUCGGCUAACUACGUGCCAGCAGCCGCGGUAAAACGUAGGAGGCGAACGUUAUCCGGAUUUACUGGGUGUAAAGCGCGUGCAGGCGGAUGCGUAAGUCGUGCGUGAAAGCGCCCAGGCUCAACCGGGCGAGGACGUGCGAAACUGCGUGACUAGAGGUAGGUAGAGGCGUGUGGAAUUCCGGGUGUAGUGGUGAAAUGCGUAGAUAUCCGGAGGAACACCAGUGGCGAAGGCGACGCGCUGGACCUAACCUGACGCUAAGACGCGAAAGCAUGGGUAGCGAACGGGAUUAGAAACCCCGGUAGUCCUUGCCGUAAACGAUGCAUACUAGAUGUUGCGGUGAUGAGCUGCAGUGUCGAAGCAAACGUGAUAAGUAUGCCACCUGGGGACUACGGCCGCAAGGUUAAAACUCAAAGGAAUUGACGGGGGCCCGCACAAGCAGCGGAGCGUGUGGUUUAAUUCGAGCUACACGAAGAACCUUACCUGGGCUUGACAUAUAAGUGGUAGGGAAGCGAAAGCGGACCGACCUUCGGGAGCUUAUACAGGUGCUGCAUGGCUGUCGUCAGCUCGUGUCGUGAGAUGUCCGGUUAAGUCCGGUAACGAGCGCAACCCUCGCCGUUAGUUACAAGUGUCUAACGGGACUGCCCGUUGAACGCGGGAGGAAGGUGGGGAUGACGUCAAGUCAGCAUGGCCUUUAUGUCCAGGGCUACACACACGCUACAAUGGCCGGUACAAUGGGUCGCCAACCCGCGAGGGGGAGCAAAUCCAACAAAGCCGGUCUCAGUUCAGAUUGCAGGCUGAAACUCGCCCGCAUGAAGUCGGAGUUGCUAGUAACCGCAGGUCAGCUAUACUGCGGUGAAUACGUUCCCGGGCCUUGUACACACCGCCCGUCACGUCAUGGAAGCUGGUCAUGCCUGAAGUCGGUGGGUUAACCGUAAGGAGACAACCGCCUAAGGCAGGGCUGGUGACUGGGACGAAGUCGGAACAAGGUA